rnacentral:rRNA from 1 species
GACGAACGCUGGCGGCGUGCCUAAUACAUGCAAGUCGAGCGAAGUUUUUCUGGUUCUUUCACUAGAAAAACUUAGCGGCGAACGGGUGAGUAACACGUAAAGAACCUGCCUCAUAGACUUGGACAACUAUUGGAAACGAUAGCUAAUACCGGAUAACAGUAUUUCUCGCAUGAGAGAUAUUUAAAAGUUGGUUAUGCUAACACUAUGAGAUGUCUUUGCGGUGCAUUAGCUAGUUGGUGUGGUAAAGGCCCACCAAGGCGACGAUGCAUAGCCGACCUGAGAGGGUGAUCGGCCACACUGGGACUGAGACACGGCCCAGACUCCUACGGGAGGCAGCAGUAGGGAAUCUUCCGCAAUGGGCGAAAGCCUGACGGAGCAACGCCGCGUGAGUGAAGAAGGAUUUCGGUUCGUAAAGCACUGUUGUUAGGGAAGAAUGGAUAUGUAGUAACUAUACAUGUAAGAGACGGUACCUAACCAGAAAGCCACGGCUAAAUACGUG